rnacentral:rRNA from 1 species
GAUGAACGCUGGCGGCGUGCCUAAUACAUGCAAGUCGAGCGAACGAACGAGAAGCUUGCUUCUCUGAUGUUAGCGGCGGACGGGUGAGUAACACGUGGAUAACCUACCUAUAAGACUGGGAUAACUUCGGGAAACCGGAGCUAAUACCGGAUAAUAUUUUGAACCGCAUGGUUCAAAAGUGAAAGACGGUCUUGCUGUCACUUAUAGAUGGAUCCGCGCUGCAUUAGCUAGUUGGUAAGGUAACGGCUUACCAAGGCAACGAUGCAUAGCCGACCUGAGAGGGUGAUCGGCCACACUGGAACUGAGACACGGUCCAGACUCCUACGGGAGGCAGCAGUAGGGAAUCUUCCGCAAUGGGCGAAAGCCUGACGGAGCAACGCCGCGUGAGUGAUGAAGGUCUUCGGAUCGUAAAACUCUGUUAGUAGGGAAGAACAGAUGUGUAAGUAACUGUGCACAUCUUGACGGUACCUAAUCAGAAAGCCACGGCUAACUACGUG